rnacentral:rRNA from 1 species
GAUUUCUGGCUCGACUCCUCCUGCCGGCCACGGUUUCGUGUGUCAGUGUGGGAGGUUUGAGCCAUCCUUCCAGUGGCGGCUGGUGACUCUUCACUGAGUGGCCAGUCGUAUUGGAUCUUUUACUUUGAACAAAUUAGAGUGUUUCAAGCAGGCUUUAUGCUAUGAAUACAUUAGCAUGGAAUAAUAAUUUAGGACUUCGGUCCUAUUUUGUUGGUUUCUAGGACUGAAGUAAUGAUUGAUAGGGACAGUUGGGGGUGCUAGUAUUCAGUGGCCAGAGGUGAAAUUCUCGGAUUCCCUGAAGACUAACUAAUGCGAAAGCAUU